AUUGAACGCUGGCGGCAGGCCUAACACAUGCAAGUCGAGCGGAUGAAGGGAGCUUGCUCCUGGAUUCAGCGGUGGACGGGGGAGUAAUGCCCAGGAAUCUGCCUUGUAGUGGGGGAUAAGGUCCGGAAACGGGCGCGAAUACCGCAUACGUCCUGAGGGAGAAAGGGGGGGAUCUUCGGAUCGCACGGUACGAGAGGAGCCUAGGUGGGCUUAUCUAGUUGGAGGGGUAAAGGCCUACCAAGGCGGAGAUCCGUAACUGGGCUGAGGGGAGGAUCAGUCACCCUGCAGCUAGGACGCUGUCCCACCUCCUACGGGAGGCACCGGUGGGACUUCUUGGACAAUGGGCGGAAGCCUAAUCCAGCCAUGCCGCGUGUGUGAAGACGGUCUUCGGCUUGUAAAGCACUUUAAGUUGGGAGUAAGGACGCUCAGUUACUCCCUUGCUGUUUGAACGUUCCCAACAAAAUAGCCACCGCCAACCUUCGU
rnacentral:rRNA from 1 species